CGUACACUCCUACGGGAGGCAGCAGUGGGGAAUAUUACACAAUGGGCGCAAGCCUGAUGCAGCAUGCCGCGUGUAUGAAGAAGGCCUUCGGGUUGUAAAGUACUUUCAGCGGGGAGGAAGGCGAUAAGGUUAAUAACCUUGUUGAUUGACGUUACCCGCAGAAGAAGCACCGGCUAACUCCGUGCCAGCAGCCGCGGUAAUACGAAGGGUGCAAGCGUUAAUCGGAAUUACUGGGCGUAAAGCGCACGCAGGCGGUCUGUCAAGUCGGAUGUGAAAUCCCCGGGCUCAACCUGGGAACUGCAUUCGAAACUGGCAGGCUAGAGUCUUGUAGAGGGGGGUAGAAUUCCAGGUGUAGCGGUGAAAUGCGUAGAGAUCUGGAGGAAUACCGGUGGCGAAGGCGGCCCCCUGGACAAAGACUGACGCUCAGGUGCGAAAGCGUGGGGAGCAAACAGGAUUAGAAACCCUGGUAGUCC
rnacentral:rRNA from 1 species